rnacentral:rRNA from 1 species
AUAUCAAUAAGCGGAGGAAAAGAAACCAACAGGGAUUGCCUUAGUAACGGCGAGUGAAGCGGCAACAGCUCAAAUUUGAAAUCUGGCCCUCGGGUCCGAAUUGUAAUUUGUAGAGGAUGAUUUUGGUGCGGUAUCUUCCGAGUUCCUUGGAACAGGACGCCUUAGAGGGUGAGAGCCCCGUACGGUUGAAUGCCUAGCCUCUGUAAAUCUCCUUCGACGAGUCGAGUAGUUUGGGAAUGCUGCUCUAAAUGGGAGGUAAAUUUCUUCUAAAGCUAAAUAUUGGCCAGAGACCGAUAGCGCACAAGUAGAGUGAUCGAAAGAUGAAAAGCACUUUGAAAAGAGGGUUAAAUAGCACGUGAAAUUGUUGAAAGGGAAGGAUUUGUGACCAGACUUUUUCUGGGCGGAUCAUCCGGGGUUCUCUCCGGUGCACUUUGCCCAGUAAAGGCCAGCAUCGAUUUUCGGCGGCGGAUAAAAGCAGUGGGAAUGUGGCUCCCUACGGGGAGUGUUAUAGCCCAUUGUAUAAUACGCUGCUGGGGAUCGAGGUACGCGCUUCUGCAAGGAUGCUGGCGUAAUGGUUAUCAAUCACCCGUCUUGAAACACGGACCAAGGAGUCGAACAUUUAUGCGAGUGUUUGGGUGUUAAACCCUCACGCGUAAUGAAAGUGAACGGAGGUGAGAGCCCGUACGGGUGCAUCAUCGACCGAUCCUGAAGUUUUCGGAUGGAUUUGAGUAAGAGCAUAACUGUUCGGACCCGAAAGAUGGUGAACUAUGCGUGGAUAGGGUGAAGCCAGAGGAAACUCUGGUGGAGGCUCGCAGCGGUUCUGACGUGCAAAUCGAUCGUCAAAUCUGCGCAUGGGGGCGAAAGACUAAUCGAACCAUCUAGUAGCUGGUUACCGCCGA